CUGCUAUCUGUCUUAGACUAAGUCAUGCAAGUCAAAGGGCUUCGGCCCUUGGCGAAAAACUGAGGAAAAGGUCGUCAACCUACCCUGCAGUCGGGGAUAACCACGGGAAACUGUGGAUAAACCCCGAUAGGUGUGGAAACUUGGAAAAGCCCAACACCAAAACGUAAGGCUGCAGGAUGGGACUGCCCCCGAUUAUGCUCGUAGGCGAGGUAAUGGCUCACCUAGGCGAUGAUCGGUACCGGCUCUUAGCGGAGUGGCCGGCAGGCGGGAACUGAGAUAAAGUCCCGGCCCCUACGGGGUCCAGCAGACGCGAAAACUACACAAUGCACGAAAGUGUGAUGUGGUGAGGCAGAGUGCCACUCUAACGGGUGGCUGUCCUGGACAGUAAAUACGUCCAGAAGAAAGGAGAGGGCAAGGAUGGUGCCAGCAGCCGCGGUAAAACCAUCUCUCCGAGUGGACCGAUAUACUGGGUCUAAAGCGUGUGCAGCUGGAACGGAAAGUCUUUGCUGAAAGCGGAUCGCUUAACGAAACCGAAACGGUGAAGAUACUUCCGUUCUUGGGAGUGGAAGAGGUGCACGGUACUAUCAGGGGAGCGGUGAAAUGCGUAGAUCCUGAUGGGACCACCUGUGGCGAAGGCGGUGCACUGGGACACAUCCGACAGUCAGACACGAAAGCUAGGGGAGCAAAGAGGAUUAGAUACCCUCGUAGUCCUAGCCGUAAACGAUGCGUGCUAAGUGUCGGGGGACUUAGUCUCCCGGUGCUGGAGCGAAGGCGUUAAGCGCGCCACCUGGGAAGUACGACCGCAAGGUUGAAACUUAAAGCAAUUGACGGGAGAGCACCGGAACGCGUGGAUGCUGCGGUUUAAUUGGAUUCAACGCCGGAAAUCUUACCUGGACCGUCCUAGACUGUGAAAGUCAGCCUGAUGAGCUUACUGGAGCCUAGGACUGGUGGUGCAUGGCCCAUUGCAGCUUGUGUCGUGAGAUGCGCACUUAAGUGUGUAAACAAGCGAGACCGUCACCCACAAUUACCAGCGAUUGCGCAAGCAAGAUCGGGAACUUUGUGGGGAUCGCCUGUGUCGAACAGGAUGAAAGAGACGUCCAGAUGAGGUCUGUAUGCCCCUUAUGUCCAGGGCCACACGCGGCAUACAAUGGCUAUCGCAAUGGGAUGCAACGUCGAAAGACGAAGCCAACCCCUAAUGAUAGUCUCAGUAAGAAUUGAGGACUGGAAGCGUCCUCAUGAAUGUGGAAUGCGUAGUAAGGGCGUUUCAUUAUGACGCCCUGAAUACUCCCCUGCUCUUUGUACACACCGCCCGUCGCACCAGGCGAGUCUUGUUUGGUUGAGGUCAGGCCUUCGGGCUUGAACGAUACUUGACAAGAUGAGUCGGGUGAAGUCGUAACAAGGUGUCCGUAGCGGAAGCUGCGGACGGAUCACCUCCUAA
rnacentral:rRNA from 1 species